GCCAGCAUGGUGUAGUGGUGUGAGCAUUGGACUAUGACUCUAGAGACCAGGGUCCGAUUCCCAGCUCAGCCA